UCUCAGACAGCAGCAGAAACAUCAGCCUCCCUGUCAGUGGAGAUCAGUUCUUAUGUGCUGUUGGCCAAACUCAGCGCCUCCCCGACUGCUGAGGAUCUGGGAUAUGCCUCUGGUAUUAUCAGGUGGCUGACUGGGCAGCAGAACUAUUACGGAGGCUUCUCCUCCACUCAGGCACGACACCACCCGAACAGCAUGAAGCUCAUCUUUGAGUUCAUCUACAGUCUUGGACCAAAUCAGAAGAAAUAAUCCUGAAGCUUUCAUGUUGUUGCUUUUCUCUCAGAUAUGCAGACUUGUUUUAGCAGGCAGGGAUGUUUUUAUUCUUUAUUUACAAGAUGAAAUUGACUUUGGUCUAAAAAUGUGUUGUUUUAACAGAACAGCCUUCUGUGCACCAACUACACGUAACAGCCUGUAAAUAACAGCUCAGCUGCAGUCUAUUUGUGCACCUACAACAUCCCAACACCUGCUGAUGUCCCCACUCUCAGUGUGAAAGUCCACACAGAGGUGGAGCCCACAGUUAUCAAAGGACACACCAUCAACCACAGAGAU